CAAACAUCCCGCCGUUUCAAAAGUUUAGAACUUGUGACUUACCGUACAAUAGUAAUUAAAGCUAGAACUUAUGUUUUUCAUUUACAUUUUUUUUUUGUAAAUCACUAAAUUACCUAUAGCGAUAAUAGAAGUAUUAUUCAUUAUAUGAAUCUUAAAGCAAACUUUUCUUUUUUUGUACAUAACUUAACGAUUGUUUGUCAUGGAAAUCCAAAAUAUUAUUGAUUCGAUGUCCACAAUCAUCUCUACGAAUUGUUCUGGUGAUAUAUUUUGUGACAAUACCUUUAAAAGGGUUUUGGAUCUUGAUUCUGAUUUAUCUGACAAUGAAAACAAAAAUCAAAGUCUUAGAUUUAUUAAUGUUAAGAAGACAAUUGAACUAUUGUCUUGUCUAAAAGAAUGUCUGUUAAAGCAUUCUGAUGAUUCUACUGAUAUAAUUUUAAGCGCCGUUCAUUGUGCUACAGUAUCAAAAUGCUUAAAUUCUGUUGUUACUUAUGGUUUUAUUCCAUGUCUUAUACCAAGUAUAUGGAAAUCAUUUGAGAAUAACCAUAAAAAUGUCCAAGUCAUCCAAAAAAUUUCACCUGAUACAGCAUAUGAAGAAUUAAAAUUUUAUGUGAAUUCAUUAUUUGAUCUGAUAAAAGAGCCUACAUUAAAAAGACUCAUAUUGGUGAAACAUACAAAUGUUUUACUUGCAGGAUUAUGUCAAUUAUCUUUACUACCCAUUGCAAAACCUGGUACAGCAAUUGCAACAGAAAGUACUAUAGAUGAAACAAAAUAUGAGCAAUUGAUAAAUGAACAGAAUACAUUUAAAAACAUUCUCAAAAAUCUCAUUUUGAUAAACAGAGAUCCUUUGUUUAUUCGAGAAAUAAUAUUUGUUCUUGGUCAUAAGAAUUGCCAGAAACAUAUAAAGCUUGGUCUUGGAGAAUUAUUUUCAGAUUUAUUAAUACAGUCUAAUGGAAUUCAAACAUUUUUAAGAGUGGCAUGUGAUUUAAUUUCUGAAACUUCACAAAACUUUAACCACCAUGGUUUGGAAGAGUGGUCAAAUUUAAUCCAUAGUUAUUACUUAAAAUCAAAAGAAAAAUAUACUAAUUAUAUUGUUCCUCAGAUAUGGGAGUUAUUAAGAUCUAACAAAAAUUUCCAUCAACUUCAAUUUCGUAGUAUUGCUGUGUUUUGCAUUCAUUUAAUGUCAAAAGAAAAUUAUAAUGAUUUUCUAGCAUUCUAUAUAAGCCCAAUUGAACAGUUAAUGAAAAUAAGUAAAAUUCAAAAUGUGUCAAGAUGUAUAGAAGAUUUGCAUUCUCUUUUUUAUUUAUUCAGGAAUGAAAUUUGGUCUUUAAAUCCAAAGUUAUUAACACAUGUUGCUACAACUAUAUAUAAUGUGUAUACAGCCACUGCUAAUGGUGUAUAUUAUUUGAAAUCUAAAUUAGAAGAUUUAGUUUUCUUAAUAUUAAUUUAUUUUUCUAGUUGUAAAGAUCAUUUAAAACUGAUUGUAUUUUCCCCAUACCAAAUUUCUGUAGAAUAUGAUGAUGAUGGUGGAAAUAUACAAAUAAAAUAUGUUGAAAAAGAACAUCAGUUAAGUUUAGAAACUCAAGUUGAUUUAAUUUUAAAUUUAAUUGACAAUCGUGCAGACUCAAAAUUGAUGAAAACAAUUUUUAUAACUUUACUCGAUAUGUACACUGAUGUACCAUCAAAGGAAUAUUCUAUUAUGGAAACAUUAUUCAUCGUUAAAGCUAUUCAUUAUUUAAUUCGAAAAGAUGAUGUGCAAAAAUCAAUAUCUACUAAUCCAGAAAUAGGGUUAAAUCUCAUAAAGUCAAUACUAAAAGCUAUAAGUGAAAACAAUGUAAUUAAUGUCCAAGUUCUUUCUACUGCAUUGAUGGUACUUACAUAUUUACUAGAAAACGCCAAUAGAAUUUGUGAAUUUAACUGUUUCAUGGAUUCUCUUACAAAAAUUUCCGAAAAUGUAGAGGAAGGGAUGUUAAAAGAUUUAAUUCUAAAAACGCAAGAGAAAAUUAAACAAAUUAAUAAUAUUUGUACAAAAAAACCAUCAGCUGUUCAGCGUACAAUUGAUGACGUAUUAUUUGAUACCAGAGACCCAUUAUUACCUUGUAGAUCACAUGCAUUAAUUGAACUAAAAAAAAUGAUAGACUCUGGUGACAAAAUGGUUCCUGCAAAGAAAACAGCAAUAUUAAUCGUGAUUCAAGAAAAUUUGAAAAAUACUGAUUCAUAUUUGUAUUUAAGCGCCAUAUUCACUUUGUCUUCUUUGUGUUCAUAUUUUCCAAAUGACAUUCUCCCAAUACUUUGUGAAGAGUAUAGUAUGCCAACAAAUUACAACCAUUCACCGGAAACUAGAUUAAAAAUUGGUGAAGUUUUAAUGAAAACCGUAAAAUUAUUAAAUGAGACUAUUCCUUUGUAUAAAAAUCGAUUACUAAACACUUUUAUGGCUGGUGUUAGAGACAAUGACCAUUUAGUCAGAGCAUCAAGUCUUUCAAAUCUGGCUGACAUUUGUCGACUCUUGCGUUACAAUCUUGGAUCAAUUGUUUCUGAAAUUGUUAACUGUGCGGAUUAUGUACUACGAUAUGAUACUGCAAUUGAACCUCGUAGAGCAGCUGUUUUAUUAUUACAAAUGAUCAUUCAAGGAGCAGAUUCAGAAUUACUCGAAAUUUUGACAGACAGUAUAAAAGAUAUCUAUCAUAUGCUCAAGUUCCAAUAUCAGUGCGACAAAGAUGAAACUAUCAAAUUACACGCUCAAGUGGCAAUAGAGAGAUUGAAUGAUAUAAUGAAAUCUUUAUUUUUGGAACCAAAAUAAAUAAUAUAUAAUUUCAGAUUGAUAUUUAUUUAUUUUAAAUACUGAACUGAAUAAAUUUUUUCUGAAAAUCCCUCGGAAAAUCUAUAAACAAUAAGGCAAAAUGUCUCGAAAGUGAAGUUUGACUUUUUUAUGAUACAAAGAUUUAUUUAUUUUUUUAAUUAGAAACUUUUGUUUCAAUAUUAUUUGUAAUAUUUGAUUGUAUUAUUUUUAGCACAGUUACAAAUUAUGUCUAGUACCUAAUUUAUCAUGUAAAAAAAGAGGAGUUUUUUUUUUAUUAAAUAUUUUUGUUCAAAUUUAA